ACACUACUGAAGAGUUCCACAAUAGGACGAAACGGCUGUCGAGUUU
rfam:Schistosoma haematobium scaffold448_17, whole genome shotgun sequence.